ensembl:misc_RNA 7SK 7SK RNA
GGAUGUGAGGACGAUCUGGCUGUGACAUCUGUCACCGCAUUGAUCACUAGGGUUGAUUCGGCUGAUCUGGCUGGGUAGGCAGGUGUUCCCUUCCUUCCUGACCACUCCAUGUGCGACCUUUUUGAAGCUGUGUUCUUUGUUGAAGAGGAUGACCUUCUGCAAUACAGGAGGACCAUUCUUUGAUCAAGGGUAUAUAAGUAGCUGCACUCCACUGCCAGAACCUUCAAGUAAGCUCUCAAGGUCCAUAUAUUAUUCUGAGAACUUCUCCAAAAUAUCUCUGCCCACGUGCCACUACCCCUCACUGCUUCCAGUCAGAUCUAUGCAACAUGUGGGACUGA